ensembl:misc_RNA Metazoa_SRP Metazoan signal recognition particle RNA
GCCAGGCACAGUGACGCGUGCCUGUAGUCCCAGCUACUCAGGAGGCUGAGGUGGGAGGAUCACUUGAGCCCAGGAGUUCUAGGCUGUAGUACACUAUGCCGAUCAGGUGUCUGCACUGUUUGGCAUUAAUAUGGUGACCUCCCAGGAGCAGGUACCACCAGGUUAACUAAGGAGGGGUGAACAGCCCAGGUCAGAAACAGAGCAGGUCAAAACUCCCGUGCUGAUCAGUAGUGGGAUCGUACUUGUGAAUAGCCACUGCACUCCAGCCUGGGCAACAGAGCGAGACCCCAACUCUU